UACGUAGGGGGCAAGCGUUGUCCGGAAUUAUUGGGCGUAAAGAGCGCGUAGGCGGUCCGAUAAGUCGGCUGUGAAAGUCAAGGGCUCAACCCUUGAAAGCCGGCCGAUACUGUCGGACUAGAGUCCGGAAGAGGCAAGUGGAAUUCCCGGUGUAGCGGUGAAAUGCGCAGAUAUCGGGAAGAACACCCGUGGCGAAGGCGGCUCUCUGGGACGGUACUGACGCUGAGACGCGAAAGCGUGGGGAGCGAACAGG
rnacentral:rRNA from 1 species